AAAAAAAGAAUCAGAUCAUUUUUCAUCGGACUAUCCCUGAAAAAUCAUCGAUCUUGAAGAAGAAUUCCCUCUGAAAGCCUCUCUUUUCCAAAAAUGGAUCCGAACCCGAAAACCUUCCCAAUCCUCUCCUACGUCAUGGGCCGCCUCCCGACCUUCCGGACCAAGCCACCAGCAGGAUCCGACCCGGGUUCCUUCGACAUCGAGCAGCCUCCGUCGCCGCCGUCGAAACCUCCCUCUGAUCCGUCGUCGUCGUCGAUGGCGACUCAGCUCCAGAUAUUCGACGAACUGCCUCGCCUGACCGACCCGAAGCUCCUGGCGUCCAUGACACGGGCUGUGGCCGACGUGGCGCAGACCCGAUCGGUGCUCCGGACGAUCGGCGAUCGGCCCGACCACGAGGCGGUGGAUGCCGCUAGGGCUAAGCUGGCGGACAUCGAGGCGAAUUUGGCGAAGCAGCUGGAGGAGUUGGUGCUGUCGCCGCGGCCGGCGGAGGUCGAACGUGGCCAGUGGCGGGCGCAGCUGGCGGAGAAGGAGAGCGAGUGCAGGCGGUCGGCAGAGAAGGAGAAAGAGAUUUACAAGGCUGUGAUUCAGCUGGACGAGAUGCACGAGGCGUACGAGAAGCUUCUGAAGGACGCGGAGGAGAGGCUGGUGAAGAUUUACGACUCGGCGGAGGGCGAGGAGUCGGCGGUGGACGGGGAUGAGGUGAACGAGGAGGUGGUGGGGAUUUUGAAGGAAGCUUCUGGAACGGAAUUGGAGCGCGUCGAUCUCUCCGGCCGGCAGUUGAGGUUCUUGCCGGAGGCGUUUGGGAGGAUUCGUGGAUUGCGAGUGCUUAAUGUCUCCAGCAAUCAACUUGAGGUAAUUCCUGAUUCAAUAGCUGGAUUGGAAAAUCUUGAGGAGCUCAAUGCCUCUUCCAAUCUUUUGCUGUUUCUGCCAGACUCGAUUGGCUUGUUGCAAAGAUUGAAGAUUCUGAAUGUCUCUGGAAACAAGCUUAACUGCCUUCCUGAUACCAUUAGCCAUUGCAGGGCCUUGGUGGAGUUGGAUGCGAGCUUCAACAGCCUGACGUACUUGCCAACGAACAUUGGUUAUGAAUUGGUUAAUCUAGAGAGACUUUCAAUCCAACUAAAUAAGAUUCGUUCACUUCCUACUUCUGUUUGUGAGAUGAGAUCUUUGCGCUAUUUGGAUGCUCAUUUCAAUGAGAUCCGUGGCCUGCCGCUUGCAAUUGGGAAGUUAACAAAGCUUGAAGUUCUCAAUCUGAGCAGUAAUUUCAGCGACUUGACAGAACUUCCUGACACUAUCGGUGAUCUAACCAAUCUCAGGGAACUUGAUCUCAGCAACAACCAAAUUCAUGCCCUUCCCUAUACAUUUGGUCGACUUGACAACUUGACUAAACUCAACUUGGAGCAGAAUCCGCUUGUUAUCCCGCCUAUUGAGGUAGUGAAUGAAGGGGUUGAAGCCGUCAAACUUUUCAUGGCUAAGAGGUGGAUCGAGAUACUCGUCGAAGAAGAAAGGAGCAUGCUUGAAGUACAGGAACAAGCACAAACCAGCUGGUUGACUCGCAGCACUUCUUGGUUGAAAGGUUAUGUUUCAGGUGUUUCUGAAUAUCUGUCAACUCCAAAACCUCCUAGAGAUUCCUAUCUUGAUCAGCAGCUAUAAUUUGACCUCUCAACGAUCUUUUUUGAGUUUUCACUAUCCCUUUCUGGCAUGUUCACUUGUUAAAUAUUGAAGGACGAGUUUCUGCUCCAAUACUGCACUUCGCCUCCGCUCCUAUAUUAGGUUCGGAUACGUUCAUUUUUCACAAGUUUGCCAUUUUUUUUUUCCCUUUAGUCCAAUUCUUCCGUUAUGUAGCAAAAAAACAAAAAGAUGAAUACUUGCUUGUGAUUGUAGUUGAACAGUUAUAGUUUGUGCAUCCAAGUGAAUUUGGAUCAUCCAAUUUUGUCACCAACCCAGAUUCAAGCAUCUAAAGACGUGAAAAAGUGAUCGCAGCUAUGGAAUAUCCUAUCAAUAAAUGCUCUUCUAGAGAAGAAUUAUAAAACGGGAAUACACGAAUCAUCACAUUUACACGUCAAAAGCAGAUAACAAUAACACUCCGUCUGAUAAGAAGGAAAGCAUGUGGGAGGGAAAGAAAAAUUAUAAGGGGAUAAAAUUAAGGGAGUUUUUUUAGUAGUCUCUGG